rfam:Selenomonas ruminantium subsp. lactilytica TAM6421 DNA, complete genome.
GGAGAGGUGUCCGAGUGGUUUAAGGAGCCGGUCUUGAAAACCGGUGAUGUCGCAAGGCACCGUGGGUUCGAAUCCCACCCUCUCCG